rnacentral:rRNA from 1 species
GACGUAGGGGGCCAGCGUUGUUCGGAAUUACUGGGUGUAAAGGGUUCGUAGGCGGUGUAGCAAGUCGGGAGUGAAAUCUCUGGGCUUAACCCAGAGGCUGCUUCCGAAACUGCUGUGCUUGAGUGUGGGAGAGGCGCGUGGAAUUGCAGGUGUAGCGGUGAAAUGCGUAGAUAUCUGCAGGAACACCCGUGGCGAAAGCGGCGCGCUGGACCACUACUGACGCUGAGGACGAAAGCGUAGGGGAGCAAACAGG